UUCUAGGAUAUCCUAGGACCUUGAGGGUUUUGAAAUUUUUCUCAGGUUUUCAAAGAGUCUCCUGUUAGAAAUGUAAGGAGUCAGGCAAGAGAGGAGCUAAGAAUGAGAGCUGAAAAGAAGCUGUAGAUUUAGAGAAGCGGCAGAACAAAGAGAUAACAGCAGAGAGAGCAGAGGCAGAGUUGAAGCUUACUUAGAACAACAAAGUGAUGGACUGAAAGAGCAUGAUGUGCCAUGAAUGAACUUGAAGACAUCAUACCAAGGCCAAACAAGGUUCAUGCUGCAGUAACAGAGGAUGUAUGUUCAUUUAAUGCCUGCUGUGCAGCAGUAUCCUGGGCAAAGACCAUGUGGGCAGUAGGCUAUAAACACUGCUGAACCUUCUCAAUUUCUAAUGAAAAACAGAAAGAAAGUGGAUCCAGACAGGAGUAGAAUGGGGAGAAAAUGGGAAGAGUAGAGGAAGAAAAAGAAACAUAAUCAAGAUAUAUUAUGUGAGAUAAAAAAAUCAAUUUUCAAUAAAAGGAAAAGAGAAAAAGAAAUCCAAAGUAGGAUACUCUGCACCCUUUCAAGAUCUGAGGACAA